rfam:Papilio machaon contig58570, whole genome shotgun sequence.
CCUUCGAUAGCUCAGUUGGUAGAGCGGUGGACUGUAGUGGUAAAUCAAAGACAUCCAUAGGUCGCUGGUUCAAAUCCGGCUCGAAGGA